ensembl:lncRNA novel transcript
AGAGGGCUUUUGGAGAGCUGGACAUGUGGAGGCCGACAGGAAGGUGAAGAAGUCAUCUGCGUGCUGUGAGGGUGGCGCACCCCAACUCCAUGGGGACAGAAGGUCCUGCAUUUAGGACCCUUCCAGACCUCACACCUAUGUAUCUCUUCAUCUGGCUGAUUACUUAUAUCCUUUCAAAGACGCUUCUUAGUAAACUGUGCCUCCCUCACAUGGCCAGCGGAGAAGGGCCUUGCCCUACCUCUCAGACUGCAGCCCUGAGCCACUCCUUGGAGGUGAGGAGCACCAUUCACCUGAGCAGCUCCCCGCCCUGGUGUCUGAGAAAUAAAUCUGCCUUCAGUCAUACGGUUCUACCAAUCUGAGCACACGACCACCUGAUAGGGUACUGAGGAUGGCUUCUGACCUGGAGGCAUCAAGGACCUGAAGGCAGUAACCAUUUCAGAGGACAGCCACAUCCCUCAAAUUACAAACAUCUAAAAUGUCCAUUAACUGUUGAGUGGAUAUAUAAAUUCUGAUGUUUUAUAAAAUGGCAUACCCUACAUCAAUGAAGAUGAAUGAAUUACUUCUGCAUAAAACAAUAUACAUGCAUCUAACCAAUAUGACACUGAGUGAAAAAAGACAUCCAUAGAAGAGCACAGCUCACCAUUCAGGAGCAUCACCCUGGUCCAAGCCACCUUCAGCUCUCACCUAGACUAACACAGUUCUUCCUGUCUCCAUGAGCCUCCUCUCCAGUUGCUGUAUUGCAAAUAACAAUCAAAACAGCAUUUAAAAGCAAAACAACAACAGCAAACAAAUGACCAUAAUAAGCUGUAUGGCAGCAGGAGAGAGAUUAUACAAGCUUUGGUGACUAAAUACUUAAAAAUGUCUGAACUAGAUGAAAUAAUCAAGAUUGUCGUUUGGGGAAGAAACGCCUGAGUGUUUCAAGUGUUGACAAAUCCAUGUCCACUCACAUCCAUGGGAGCCCCUUCUUUCUUAUUGGUUUCAUCACUUCCUAUAAUUCAUCUCUCUCAGCUUCUCCAGAGCCUGACAUAAGCUGACAGAGUCAUGAAUUUAAUAAACUAGAAUAA